rnacentral:rRNA from 1 species
AUACGGAGGGUCCAAGCGUUAUCCGGAUUCAUUGGGUUUAAAGGGUCCGCAGGCGGGAAAAUAAGUCAGUGGUGAAAGCCUACAGCUCAACUGUAGAACUGCCAUUGAUACUGUUUUUCUUGAGUAUAGAUGAAGUGGGCGGAAUAUAUCAUGUAGCGGUGAAAUGCAUAGAUAUGAUAUAGAACACCGAUUGCGAAGGCAGCUCACUAAACUAUUACUGACGCUCAGGGACGAAAGCGUGGGGAGCGAACAGAAUUAGAUACCCCAGUAGUCC